rnacentral:rRNA from 1 species
GACGAACGCUGGCGGCGUGCCUAAUACAUGCAAGUCGAGCGAGCUUGCCUAGAUGAUUUUAGUGCUUGCACUAAAUGAAACUAGAUACAAGCGAGCGGCGGACGGGUGAGUAACACGUGGGUAACCUGCCCAAGAGACUGGGAUAACACCUGGAAACAGAUGCUAAUACCGCAUAACAACAAAAGCCACAUGGCUUUUGUUUAAAAGAUGGCUUUGGCUAUCACUCUGGGAUGGACCUGCGGUGCAUUAGCUAGUUGGUAAGGUAACGGCUUACCAAGGCGAUGAUGCAUAGCCGAGUUGAGAGACUGAUCGGCCACAAUGGAACUGAGACACGGUCCAUACUCCUACGGGAGGCAGCAGUAGGGAAUCUUCCACAAUGGGCGCAAGCCUGAUGGAGCAACACCGCGUGAGUGAAGAAGGGUUUCGG